AGUGAACGCUGGCGGUAGGCCUAACACAUGCAAGUCGAACGGCAGCACAGUAAGAGCUUGCUCUUACGGGUGGCGAGUGGCGGACGGGUGAGGAAUACAUCGGAAUCUACUUUUUCGUGGGGGAUAACGUAGGGAAACUUACGCUAAUACCGCAUACGACCUACGGGUGAAAUCAGGGGAUCUUCGGACCUUGCGCGAUUGAAUGAGCCGAUGUCGGAUUAGCUAGUUGGCGGGGUAAGGGCCCACCAAGGCGACGAUCCGUAGCUGGUCUGAGAGGAUGAUCAGCCACACUGGAACUGAGACACGGUCCAGACUCCUACGGGAGGUAGCAGUGGGGAAUAUUGGACAAUGGGCGCAAGCCUGAUCCAGCCAUACCGCGUGGGUGAAGAAGGCCUUCGGGUUGUAAAGCCCUUUUGUUGGGAAAGAAAAGCAGCAGGUUAAUACCCCGCUGUUCUGACGGUACCCAAAGAAUAAGCACCGGCUAACUUCGUG
rnacentral:rRNA from 1 species